rnacentral:rRNA from 1 species
GGAGUCUGGUCCGUGUCUCAGUACCAGUGUGGGGGACCUUCCUCUCAGAACCCCUAAGGAUCGAUGGCCAGGUGGGCCGUUACCCCGCCUGCUGCCUAAUCCUACGCAUCCCCAUCCCAAGGCGAUGAAUCUUUACUCCUCGUCAGAUGCCAUCUGAAGAGACCAUCAGGUAUUAAUCCGACUUUCGCCGGGCUGUCCCUGACCUCGGGGCAGGUUGGAUACGCGUUACUCACCCGUGCGCCGGUCGCCAGCGGAGAUAGCAAGCUAUCUCCCUGAUGCCCCUCGACUUGCAUGUGUUAAGCCUGUAGCUAGCGUUCAUC